rnacentral:rRNA from 1 species
GACGAACGCUGGCGGCGCGCCUAACACAUGCAAGUCGAACGGAGUCAAGAGGAGCUUGCUUUUCUUGACUUAGUGGCGAACGGGUGAGUAACGCGUGAGUAACCUGCCCUGGAGUGGGGGACAACAGUUGGAAACGACUGCUAAUACCGCAUAAGCCCACGGAUCUGCAUGGAUCUGCUGGAAAAGGAUUUAUUCGCUCUAGGAUGGACUCGCGUCCAAUUAGCUAGUUGGUGAGGUAACGGCCCACCAAGGCGACGAUUGGUAGCCGGACUGAGAGGUUGAACGGCCACAUUGGGACUGAGACACGGCCCAGACUCCUACGGGAGGCAGCAGUGGGGGAUAUUGCACAAUGGGGGAAACCCUGAUGCAGCGACGCCGCGUGGAGGAAGAAGGUUUUCGGAUUGUAAACUCCUGUCGUUAGGGACGAUAAUGACGGUACCUAACAAGAAAGCACCGGCUAACUACGUG